CCUACGGGUGGCUGCAGUGAGAAAUAUUGGUCAAUGGACGAGAGUCUGAACCAGCCAAGUAGCGUGAAGGAUGACUGCCCUAUGGGUUGUAAACUUCUUUUAUAAAGGAAUAAAACGAGGCACGUGUGCCUUUUUGCAUGUACUUUAUGAAUAAGGAUCGGCUAAAUCCGUGCCAGCAGCCGCGGUAAUACGGAGGAUCCGAGCGUUAUCCGGAUUUAUUGGGUUUAAAGGGAGCGUAGGUGGGUUUUUAAGUCCGUUGUGAAAGUUUGCGGCUCAACCGUGAAAUUGCAAUUGAUACUGGCAGUCUUGAGUGCAGUGGAGGUAGGCGGAAUGCGUGGUGUAGCGGUGAAAUGCUUAGAUAUCACGAAGAACCCCGAUUGCGAAGGCAGCUUACUAAAGUGUGACUGACGUUGAUGCUCGAAAGUGUGGGUAUCGAACAGGAUUAGAUACCCGAGUAGUC
rnacentral:rRNA from 1 species